CCUCACUCCGUCAAUCCGCCGCAUCUCUGGUGUCUCUCACAUAUCUCACAUCUCUCACUGCAAAUUAGGGUUCCAAUUGAACCCCAAAUUGGAUGAAGCACUACUCCCGACAUCUCACCUCACUCCCACUCCCGACAUCUCACCUGUGAAUCCCACCUCCCUCGACAUCUCCUCUGCCUCUUGCCGCCGCCGCAUCUCUCUCGUGUCUCUCACCGUCGCAUUUCUCUGAUAUGGAAGUUUGGAGCUUCAAGAGGUUUCACUGAGUUUGAAGAUGGUAUUAAGGGGUUGUGUGAUACUAUUGCUGUUGGGAUUGAAGCUCGUGACGGUUUUCCUGCACAUCCAAAUGAUCUUUUAUUCACAGGU